CAACCAUCAAGCCCCCGGGCUUGUGUUGGGGACCUGCGGCACACCCGCAGGCCCUGAAAACCAGUGGCGGGCUCGCUGUCCACACCGAGCGUAGUAGCAUCUUUUGUCUCGCUCAGGUCGUGCGGCGUGUUCCGGCCGUGAAAGCCACCUUCUCGAAGGUACCCAAA
rnacentral:misc_RNA from 1 species